CCAGCCCCAGCUCCAGCCCCAGACCCAGACCCAGACCCAGCCUCCGCAGGCGGUGGGCGCGGCGCGGGCCGCUGCCCGCUGCGCGGCUGGUCACCGUGGUGCCCUAGCAUCGGACCCCAGGAGAAAGGAGUAAGAAUGAGUUGGCCGUUCCAGGGCAGGCCUCCAGGAAUGGGUUCCGCUGUUUUCCGCUCAGAACAGAAGAGGGAGCCGCUUCGAAUUAGGCGCAGCAGGAGGCAUUGGGGUUCAGCAUCGGGAAGAACUUUGGAGGACGCUAGGGUGCCUGAUUCAUAGGAGCCCAAAGCCAGUCUCUGAAAAGAUUUGCGCAAAAGGCAGGCGUUUCUUUCUAGAAGCAAGCUUAUUUCUAUGUUUAAUGAGCACCAAAUGUGCCUCCCCACUGUCCGAGGGGUUCCAGCGAGCCUUGACUGCUCUUAUGGUAAGGUAAAUAGAUUAAUUAAUGAUUUCUCAAAGACCUUUUUCCAGUCCUACCUGAAAUGCUCAGACUCCCUCACGCGGUGCACCUGGAGGUUUGAAAAGGCAAGCGAAACCAGAGGACUUCUGCAGACUGAUUCAAACAGCAAUGGAAUAAACAUUUACCAUUAUAAAGAUGAAACGAUGUUGCUGGUCUUUGCACUAUUUAGGUUGGCGUUUUUUGUUUUUAGGGGAUGUCUUUCCAAACCACUGUGUUAACCAAUACUUUAUGACAGUUAAUUUUUUUUUUUAACCAACUGGACUACUUGGUGAAGGGAAAUCAUGAAAUGGCACUUUUUUUUUUCAGACCACUGUCUUUAAAAAUUAUUCCAGAAGCUCUCCCUUCUCCCCUGGAAGAAUCUGGGGCAAAUUUCAUAGCUUUUCCUGUCACUUUCAGGUGUUCAUAAACAGUCAGAUUUGCUGAUAAUAAAAAGUCCAGCCCAAUCCAAAUCAAAACUUUAAUCGCAAUCCAUUCAAGCCUUCCCCACUAGCCUCCCACCACCCACCAGACCCCAACCUGACCCAAGCUCAGAAGCCUGCAAGGAGGAGGAAAACGACCUUCGCUUCCUGCUUCUGUGUUCUCCCCAGCUAGCUCUGUGAAGACGGGUUCCACCGCCGGGCACGGAGGCUCACGCUUGUAAUCCC
rnacentral:lncRNA from 10 species